AAAGUAAGUGAAAUCUCGCGCUUGAAUAUUUCCUUAACUCAGCCGUACAGAACUUGAUUACUCCAGCUUGUUGAGUAUUCACACUGUUAGCUUUUCUUUGUUAUUUCUUCUGUUGUCUGUUAAAUCAUUACUAGACUCAUUAACAUCUCCUGCAGAGAUCUGGCAGGAGAAAUAAAAGGGGAUAAAUUGUAAACCAGUUAAAGUUGCUCUAAGAGAAGCAAUUCUGUUAAGCUUAAGGGGAGGACAGGGAAAAUGGACAAAAUAAGAUGUGGGAUAUUUCUUGCAUUUUUUAUCUUUUGGUGUGCUAUGUGUUAAGUGCUCGUGAUCAAAAUUUACAUAACUAGGAAUAAUGAAGGAGUUGGCUUCAACGUCUCAAGUAGUGACAACCACAUAAAAUAUGAUAUUUGUAAUAGAUGGCAAAUCUGCCUUAAAAAUUGCUUGAAGGAAUUUACAUUCCUCCCUAGAUUUGUGAUCAUGUCAUGUUAAUGUCUAUAAUAUUGGAAAAAGUAUUUACAAGAUCUACUGAAGAUUUAAAAAUAAAUGAAUGAAGAAAUAUAAUAAAUAUGAUGGUUGUGAACUGGUAGCUUAGCCUAAAAGCAGUUUUGGCUUGUCUUCUUACUGGCAUUUAAGAUGCCCUACUUGUUCAUUCUUUGCUGUGUUUAAGUUGGUUUUAGAAAAUAUAAAUUGGGAAGGUAGCUUCAGAAAUUGGGGAUUUUCUAAACCUUCAGAAAAAUCUUAUGACUGAGGGAAGUUCCAGAAAUUGAGGGCUUUUUCAAACUUUUGAAAAUUCUUGCUGCUGAAAGAUGAUGCUAUGCAGUCAAUGUAGCCAAGUGCUAUGUCAUUGUCAUUAAUAAAAUUAGACCUGUACCGGAGUACUGAGUUGUGUAAGCAUCAUAAUAAGGUUAUAACAAGGUAUUCUUACUCUUUGGCUAGCUGUCAACAGACAUUAUUAUUACAGAUUCCUGGACAUAAACUAAUCUAUUCUUCAUAUCUAUACCAAUUUUAAUAAAAUGUUAUCUAUUUAAAUCAUAUCUGUACAAUGAAACCUAUGCAUAAGUCUUAUGCUUACCAUUUUGAACAGAUUAAUGAGUUCCUAUUUUAAAGGCUUCGUUUUGAUGUUUGUUUAAAAGGCUAUUGCAAAUCAGAUUUCUUAAUGUAAAAGCUGACAUCUGGAGGUAAAACAGCAUAGAAACUUUUAAAUCUUCAAAAAUUGGACAAAAGAAGUAACUGAUUUAACUAAUACUUGUAUUGACUCAUUUUAUUUAGCCUCACUUCAUUUACCAUUCUUUUAAAAUGCUGUUGUCGCUA
rnacentral:lncRNA from 1 species